rnacentral:lncRNA from 1 species
CUUGUAUAUAGAUGUUUCAAUGAAGAACCCUCCAAAUACAGCAUAUGAUAAAUGCAUCCUAAGUACUCACGGUAUAUUGGGAGGGGGAAGUACUCAAUAGAUACAUAACACAGGUGAUGGGGCUAGCUGACCCUGUUUCUCUGGACUCAUUUGAGCUGAUAUAUAUACUGUGCACCUUGUAGUAAUGUCCACAAUUGGGAGUAUGCUAAGCGUAACAGAAGCAAGGAUGAGGACUGUGUACAGGAGAAGUUUUAAGAGACUAUACUACAUACAGAAUUGCUUCCUCAUUCUCACUUUCCAAAAUCCUAGCCAUCCUUCCAGGACCAACUCAAAUAGCAGAACAGAACAUGGAAUAGGGUGAUUACUCAGAAGUGAGAUUUAGACUCCAGAGAAGGAAAUGACAAGCCACUCUGAUAACUUUGCAAAGAAAAUCUUACGAACAGCACUGAUGUGCUAUGAUCCAUGGGAUCCUGAAGAAUCAGACACAACUGAAUGACUGAACAACAUCUUACUCCAGACCACAGAAAUCAACAUUUACUCUGUGAUUAUCUGUUCAAGCACAAAGAAUUUUCCAUCACUACCCGUUAUCACACAACAAAUAGGGGAAACUUCUCACCUGAACUGAAGAAGACAACUUACAAAGGGGACAUCUGCCAUACUCUGCUACUGAAACAAAGCUGAAUUGCUUCUCAAAAUAUUUCACCAUGUCCAAAAUAUGCUGUUAUAGGUAACUAUGUUAGUCAAUGACUAAUAUUCUGGUUGGCAAAUUCUACUGGCUGUUGCCGUUUCUAGUCUCUCUUUUAAGACAAUUUUAGUUAAUUCAAUAUUGAUAAAAGGGAGUAUUUUCCACCAGAAGAUGAAGAAAGAACAAGGAAAGAAAGGAAACUCAUCAAUGACUUGGGGGUGGAGCAAUUAAUCUUAUUAGAUCCAAGAGACAGGUUGAAAGCCAAACUUGAAAUCAAGUGUUCCAAUUACAAGUUUCUUUCUUCACUUCAGACUCAGAAAAUAACAACUGAGAGCAAUCUCACCAAGGUGCCAUAUUUACCCACAGUCCAAGAUUUUUAUUUCCUGUCCUCACUUUAUACACAUGAUCACAAUUAACACAGAUAUCCCCAGGUUUUAAUUCAAGCCUUG